GAAGUACUCACUCCGUCCCAAAAUUCUUGUCUUAGAUUAGUCUAGAUACGGAUGUACUCCCUCCAUAAACAAAUAUAAGAGUGUUUAUAUCACUAAAGUAGUAAUCUAAAUGCUCUUAUAUUUCUUUACAGAGGGAGUACCUAAUACUAAAACGUGACUUAUGCAUCCGUAUUUGGACAAAUCUAAGACAAGAAUUUUGGGACGGAGGGAGUACUAU
rnacentral:pre_miRNA from 1 species